ensembl:lncRNA
GAGUGAUGCAUUCUUUGUUUGUUCAUCAAACAAUCAAACUGCUUUUAUACUCAGGCACAUGAUGUUUUUUUUUUAAAGCCUGGCGCUACCUCUAAUCAUGUUUUCUAAAAGAGAGUGCAGUUAAGGGAGGCCUAGGCAUGGGUUUUAAUGGACUCUAAUGGGUUUGUUAGACCUUGGGGAAAACCAUUGUGAUGUACAGUACAUGGAGGUGAUUGGAUUCUGUUUGCAGAUGGAUUUUGUUGGACACACCAAAGACGAUUAGUCAUUGGGCAAACUUCAGAGAUGGAAGUGACUGUUUCAUACUGCUAAAAAAAAACUUGACCCACCUGAAACCACUCAGUGGUGAUCGUUUUAUGAGGAUUAAUGGCAUGUUCUCUUGUGGGCCCAUCUUUGACCUCUGUGCUCUCCUAGAGUUUAAAACACUAGCCAUGAAAUGUGGUAGAGACGUGUGACACAUUAGGCCCACCAUGCUAGACCGUAGUGGGCAACAGUGUUACAGAAACAAUACAAUACAUGAAAGCUAAAAGGAAACCUCUUGACUUUCUAGUCUUAGUUUUAAACAUGGCUUGAGUUGGGACUGAUUAUAGAAGUC